CGAGAGAUGAGGAGCUUGCUCUUCAAAUCGAGUGGCGAACGGGUGAGUAACGCGUGAGGAACCUGCCUCAAAGAGGGGGACAACAGUUGGAAACGACUGCUAAUACCGCAUAAGCCCACGGCUCGGCAUCGAGCAGAGGGAAAAGGAGCAAUCCGCUUUGAGAUGGCCUCGCGUCCGAUUAGCUAGUUGGUGAGGUAACGGCCCACCAAGGCGACGAUCGGUAGCCGGACUGAGAGGUUGAACGGCCACAUUGGGACUGAGACACGGCCCAGACUCCUACGGGAGGCAGCAGUGGGGAAUAUUGCACAAUGGGGGAAACCCUGAUGCAGCGACGCCGCGUGGAGGAAGAAGGUCUUCGGAUUGUAAACUCCUGUUGUUGAGGAAGAUAAUGACGGUACUCAACAAGGAAGUGACGGCUAACUACGUGCCAGCAGCCGCGGUAAAACGUAGGUCACAAGCGUUGUCCGGAAUUACUGGGUGUAAAGGGAGCGCAGGCGGGAGAACAAGUUGGAAGUGAAAUCC
rnacentral:rRNA from 1 species